rnacentral:rRNA from 1 species
UACGAGGGGGGCAAGCGUUGUUCGGAAUUACUGGGCGUAAAGCGUGCGCAGGCGGUUUGUUAAGUCCGUUGUGAAAGCCCCGAGCUCAACUUGGGAAUUGCAGUGGAUACUGGCAGGCUGGAGUACGGUAGAGGAAGGUGGAAUUCCCGGUGUAGCAGUGAAAUGCGUAGAUAUCGGGAGGAACACCAGUGGCGAAGGCGGCCUUCUGGACCAGUACUGACGCUCAUGCACGAAAGCGUGGGGAGCAAACAGG